GAAUGAGGAAAUGAAACAGCAUGUAAGAGGGAAGAGACAGAGAAAAACUCAGGGUUUAUUGAAGAAAACCUGCCAGCAAGCAGGUUAAGUUCACAGACUCAGUUGCCAUGGUGAUUGACUCAGAGUUUGAUUUACCUCUCUUUCUGGAACUGAAAACCCUCAUUUCAGGGUUAAUAUACUUUAAUAUACUUUCUGGAAUACCCCUCUGGACACCACAAAGAACAACCACAUACACUGAAGAGUCCAAAACACCUUUAAUGAUUCAAGAGAACGAGGUGCGUAAUAAGAUGUCUUCUGGGAAAAGGAAAGAAAAUGGCUCCCCAAAAGAAUCAUCUCUGAUAGCAGGGUGUCAGUGACAGCAGUUGUGACCUGCGCCACAAGACUGUCACGCCAAAAAGCGAACUAGAAGAAAGCAGCUCCCUGGAGCUUCAACAGUCACAUGUAGAGCUCUGAAGCAGGUAACUUCACUCUAACUCAGAGUCACAGUGACUGCAACACAGUGCAACAGUAAAGGUUUGAUUCAAACUAAUCUAACAGGCAGAUGACCAGAAUACAAGCGAGAAUGAGAAAAAGGAAAUGUCCUGUGAGGUUAUAGCGCCAUCUAGUGUGCUUUGUGAGGAGGAAGACAUUCACAUGAGCCCAAGUGCGUGCACAUAGCACAUUUGUAAAUAACUAUAACUGUAUGCAGCUAUAAAGUUUAAUUUGCAGCUAACAUAUUAAAUAACACACAUCAUGUUAUUUUCUGCAUAAUAUUUUCUGUGUGUUCUUAAUUUUGCACUUGACUUUUUUUCUGUCUGGACACAUUAUGUAGUUGUAAUUGUGGUAAAGUGCUGACUGUAUGUGGGUCAGAUGGUUUUUGUUGUUGUCUUCUGUCUGUUUAUAUGUUUCUGCACUUGAUGUGCUGUGCAUUACUGUAUGUCCAUGGUGUUUCUAAUGAUCUAAUGUUGUAGAUUUAAUAAUUUAUUCUGACUGUUUAUUUUAAUUUAUUUUUGUUUUGUUUAUAAAACAGCUGUAUGUUUCA